rnacentral:rRNA from 1 species
GAUGAACGCUGACAGAAUGCUUAACACAUGCAAGUCGAUGGGGAAGUGGUGCUUGCACCCUGGCAACCAUGGCGGACGGGUGAGUAACGCGUAAGGGACUUACCUGCAGGACUGGGAUAACAGGGGGAAACUCCUGACAAGACCGGAUAAUGUCAUGGAGCUGCCUGGCUUUAUUAUGAAAGGAGAGGCCUGCGGAGAGCCUUGCGUCCUAUUAGCUAGUUGGUGAGGUAAUGGCUCACCAAGGCGAAGAUAGGUAGCCGGCCUGAGAGGGUGGACGGCCACAAGGGGACUGAGAUACGGCCCUUACUCCUACGGGAGGCAGCAGUGGGGAAUAGUGGACAAGGGGGGCAACCCUGAUACAGCAAUUCUGUGUGCACGAAGAAGGUUUUCGGAGUGUAAAGUGCUUUCAGCAGGGAAGAAGUAAGUGACGGUACCUGCAGAAGAAGCGACGGCUAAAUACGUG